GUUAGUCGAACGAACUCUGGUAUUGAUUGGUGCUUGCAUCAUGAUUUACAUUUGAGUGAGUGGCGAACUGGUGAGUAACACGUGGGAAACCUGCCCAGAAGCGGGGGAUAACACCUGGAAACAGAUGCUAAUACCGCAUAACAACUUGGACCGCAUGGUCCGAGCUUGAAAGAUGGCUUCGGCUAUCACUUUUGGAUGGUCCCGCGGCGUAUUAGCUAGAUGGUGGGGUAACGGCUCACCAUGGCAAUGAUACGUAGCCGACCUGAGAGGGUAAUCGGCCACAUUGGGACUGAGACACGGCCCAAACUCCUACGGGAGGCAGCAGUAGGGAAUCUUCCACAAUGGACGAAAGUCUGAUGGAGCAACGCCGCGUGAGUGAAGAAGGGUUUCGGCUCGUAAAACUCUGUUGUUAAAGAAGAACAUAUCUGAGAGUAACUGUUCAGGUAUUGACGGUAUUUAACCAGAAAGCCACGGCUAACUACGUGCCAGCCCCGCGGUAAUACGUAGGUGGCAAGCGUUGUCCGGAUUUAUUGGGCGUAAAGCGAGCGCAGGCGGUUUUUUAAGUCUGAUGUGAAAGCCUUCGGCUCAACCGAAGAAGUGCAUCGGAAACUGGGAAACUUGAGUGCAGAAGAGGACAGUGGAACUCCAUGUGUAGCGGUGAAAUGCGUAGAUAUAUGGAAGAACACCAGUGGCGAAGGCGGCUGUCUGGUCUGUAACUGACGCUGAGGCUCGAAAGUAUGGGUAGCAAACAGGAUUAGAUACCCUGGUAGUCCAUACCGUAAACGAUGAAUGCUAAGUGUUGGAGGGUUUCCGCCCUUCAGUGCUGCAGCUAACGCAUUAAGCAUUCCGCCUGGGGAGUACGGCCGCAAGGCUGAAACUCAAAGGAAUUGACGGGGGCCCGCACAAGCGGUGGAGCAUGUGGUUUAAUUCGAAGCUACGCGAAGAACCUUACCAGGUCUUGACAUACUAUGCAAAUCUAAGAGAUUAGACGUUCCCUUCGGGGACAUGGAUACAGGUGGUGCAUGGUUGUCGUCAGCUCGUGUCGUGAGAUGUUGGGUUAAGUCCCGCAACGAGCGCAACCCUUAUUAUCAGUUGCCAGCAUUAAGUUGGGCACUCUGGUGAGACUGCCGGUGACAAACCGGAGGAAGGUGGGGAUGACGUCAAAUCAUCAUGCCCCUUAUGACCUGGGCUACACACGUGCUACAAUGGAUGGUACAACGAGUUGCGAACUCGCGAGAGUAAGCUAAUCUCUUAAAGCCAUUCUCAGUUCGGAUUGUAGGCUGCAACUCGCCUACAUGAAGUCGGAAUCGCUAGUAAUCGCGGAUCAGCAUGCCGCGGUGAAUACGUUCCCGGGCCUUGUACACACCGCCCGUCACACCAUGAGAGUUUGUAACACCCAAAGUCGGUGGGGUAACCUUUUAGGAACCAGCCGCCCGU
rnacentral:rRNA from 2 species